rnacentral:rRNA from 1 species
GACGAACGCUGGCGGCGUGCCUAAUACAUGCAAGUUGAGCGCUGAAGGUUGGUACUUGUACCAACUGGAUGAGCAGCGAACGGGUGAGUAACGCGUGGGGAAUCUGCCUUUGAGCGGGGGACAACAUUUGGAAACGAAUGCUAAUACCGCAUAAAAACUUUAAACACAAGUUUUAAGUUUGAAAGAUGCAAUUGCAUCACUCAAAGAUGAUCCCGCGUUGUAUUAGCUAGUUGGUGAGGUAAAGGCUCACCAAGGCGAUGAUACAUAGCCGACCUGAGAGGGUGAUCGGCCACAUUGGGAAUGAGACACGGCCCAAACUCCUACGGGAGGCAGCAGUAGGGAAUCUUCGGCAGUGGACGAAAGUCUGACCGAGCAACGCCGCGUGAGUGAAGAAGGUUUUCGGAUCGUAAAACUCUGUUGGUAGAGAAGAACGUUGGUGAGAGUGGAAAGCUCAUCAAGUGACGGUAACUACCCAGAAAGGGACGGCUAACUACG